GACGAACGCUGGCGGCGUGCUUAACACAUGCAAGUCGAACGAAGUGGCGAACGGGUGAGUAACGCGUAAUCAACCUGCCCUUCAGAGGGGGACAACAGUUGGAAACGACUGCUAAUACCGCAUACUGAAGGUGGGGAUUGCGUCUGAUUAGGUAGUUGGCGGGGUAACGGCCCACCAAGGCGAGGAUCAGUAGCCGGGCUGAGAGGAUGAACGGGCACAUUUGGACUGAGACACGGCCCAGACUCCUGCGGGAGGCAGCAGUGGGGAAUCUUCCGCAAUGGACGAAAGUCUGACGGAGCAACGCCGCGUGGGUGAUGACGGCCUGCGGGUUGUAAAGCUCUGUUAAUCGGGACGCGGUACCGGAAUAGAAAGCCACGGCUAACUACGUGCCAGCCGCCGCGGUAAUAC
rnacentral:rRNA from 1 species